rnacentral:rRNA from 1 species
UACGUAGGGUGCUAGCGUUGUUCGGAAUUAUUGGGCGUAAAGCGCACGUAGGCGGAUAUUUAAGUCAGGGGUGAAAUCCCGGGGCUCAACCCCGGAACGGCCUUUGAUACUGGAUGUCUUGAGUCCGGAAGAGGUGAGUGGAAUUGCGAGUGUAGAGGUGAAAUUCGUAGAUAUUCGCAGGAACACCAGUGGCGAAGGCGGCUCACUGGUCCGGAACUGACGCUGAGGUGCGAAAGCGAGGGGAGCAAACAGG